CCUACGGGUGGCUGCAGUGGGGAAUAUUGCACAAUGGGCGCAAGCCUGAUGCAGCCAUGCCGCGUGUGUGAAGAAGGCCUUCGGGUUGUAAAGCACUUUCAGCGGGGAGGAAGGCGGUGAGGUUAAUAACCUCAUCGAUUGACGUUACCCGCAGAAGAAGCACCGGCUAACUCCGCGCCAGCAGCCGCGGUAAUACGGAGGGUGCAAGCGUUAAUCGGAAUUACUGGGCGUAAAGCGCACGCAGGCGGUCUGUCAAGUCGGAUGUGAAAUCCCCGGGCUCAACCUGGGAACUGCAUUCGAAACUGGCAGGCUAGAGUCUUGUAGAGGGGGGUAGAAGUCCAGGUGUAGCGGUGAAAUGCGUAGAGAUCUGGAGGAAUACCGGUGGCGAAGGCGGCCCCCUGGACAAAGACUGACGCUCAGGUGCGAAAGCGUGGGGAGCAAACAGGAUUAGAUACCCGAGUAGUC
rnacentral:rRNA from 1 species